rnacentral:rRNA from 1 species
GUUGACCUCGGAUCAGUAGAACCCGGCGANUGAACUUUCAAGCAUAUCAAUAAGCA